rnacentral:misc_RNA from 1 species
AAGUCGUAACAAGGUUUCCGUAGGUGAACCUGCGGAAGGAUCAUUAACACGUAUCCAACGUUAAACCCCCUGUGAACUUUCAUCGUGCUCUUGCAUCCUCGGAACAGCAAUCCUGGUAAAUCAGUCGCAACAGUAGUUAUUGAUUCAGGACCUCUGCCCAAAAGAUGUGAUUGAGCGCUCGAGGCAAGUGGCCUAGUUUCCCAAAGCAAUCAGUGUUCUGAAAGCGUCACUGACUGUGUAAGGAUAACGCUUCACGGAUGCUCGAAACAACCAGUAGUUACCGUAUGUCUCCUCGACACAGCAAGUGCGCCGUCGCGGGAGAAAAACGAACAACUGUUAACAAUGGAUAUCUUGGUUCUC